UCAAAAAAUGACGUCAUACACCCUCUAUAUUCAUCCGCGCUGUGCACGUUUUUAAUGUUGAUAAUGUAGUGAAGAUAACAUUGGGGACGGAAACUACAUUUGUGCAACGAAGGGACUUACAACCAAGAUGGCGUCUCGGUGAAAACAGUCUGGAAAUUCUGUAGCCUGACUAACGCAG